rnacentral:rRNA from 1 species
AACGUAGGUCACAAGCGUUGUCCGGAAUUAUUGGGUGUAAAGGGAGCGCAGGCGGGAGAACAAGUUGGAAGUGAAAUCCAUGGGCUCAACCCAUGAACUGCUUUCAAAACUGUUUUUCUUGAGUAGUGCAGAGGUAGGCGGAAUUCCCGGUGUAGCGGUGGAAUGCGUAGAUAUCGGGAGGAACACCAGUGGCGAAGGCGGCCUACUGGGCACCAACUGACGCUGAGGCUCGAAAGUGUGGGUAGCAAACAGG